rnacentral:rRNA from 1 species
AACGAACGCUGGCGGCAUGCCUAACACAUGCAAGUCGAACGAGGCCUUCGGGUCUAGUGGCGCACGGGUGCGUAACGCGUGGGAACCUGCCCUUAGGUUCGGAAUAACUCCCCGAAAGGGGUGCUAAUACCGGAUAAUGUCUUCGGACCAAAGAUUUAUCGCCUUUGGAUGGGCCCGCGUUGGAUUAGCUAGUUGGUAGGGUAAAAGCCUACCAAGGCGACGAUCCAUAGCUGGUCUGAGAGGAUGACCAGCCACACUGGGACUGAGACACGGCCCAGACUCCUACGGGAGGCAGCAGUGGGGAAUAUUGGACAAUGGGCGAAAGCCUGAUCCAGCAAUGCCGCGUGAGUGAUGAAGGCCUUAGGGUUGUAAAGCUCUUUUACCCGGGAUGAUAAUGACAGUACCGGGAGAAUAAGCUCCGGCUAACUCCGUG